CCUACGGGAGGCAGCAGUCGAGAAUCUUGGGCAAUGCACGAAAGUGUGACCCAGCGACGCCGCGUGAAGGAUGAAGGCCCUCUGGGUUGUAAACUUCUUUUACGGGAGAAGAAUAAAUGACGGUAUCCCGUGAAUAAGCCACGGCUAACUACGUGCCAGCAGCCGCGGUAAUACGUAGGUGGCAAGCGUUGUCCGGAUUUACUGGGCGUAAAGCGAACGCAGGCGGAUUGUUAAGUAGAAAGUGAAAGGUCGGAGCUCAACUCCAACAUUGCUUUCUAUACUGGCUAUCUUGAGUAGCGGAGAGGAAGGGGGAACGACGCGUGUAGCGGUGAAAUGCGUUGAUAUGUGUCGGAACACCCAUGGCGAAAGCACCCUUCUGGACGCAAACUGACGCUCAUGUUCGAAAGCCAAGGUAGCGAACAGGAUUAGAUACCCUGGUAGUCUUGGCCCUAAACUAUGUUCACUAGGUGUCGGGGGGUUUCCCUCGGUGCCGCAGCUAACGCAUUAAGUGAACCGCCUGGGGACUACGGCCGCAAGGUUGAAACUCAAAGGAAUUGGCGGGGGCCCGCACAAGCGGUGGAGCAUAUGGCUUAAUUCGAUGCAACGCGAAGAACCUUACCAGGGCUUGACAUCAGGGGAAAACCUACAGAGAUGUAGGGUCCGUAAGGGCCCCUGACAGGUGGUGCAUGGCUGUCGUCAGCUCGUGCCGUGAGGUGUUGGCUUAAGUGCCGCAACGAGCGCAACCCCCGUCCUUAGUUGCCAGCACGUAAUGGUGGGGACCCUAGGGAGACUGCCGGCGACAAGCCGGAGGAAGGUGGGGGAUGAUGUCAAGUCAUCAUGCCCCUUAUGUCCAGGGCUGCACACAUGCUACAAUGCCGGCCACAACGGGCUGCGACCCCGCAAGGGUGAGCGAAUCCAAAAAAGCCGGCUAAGUUCGGAUCGUAGUCUGCAACUCGACUGCGUGAGGUCGAGUCGCUAGUAAUCGCGGAUCAGCAACGUCGCGGUGAAUACGUCCCGGG
rnacentral:rRNA from 1 species